GACGUAGGAUGCGAGCGUUAUUCGGAUUUAUUGGGCGUAAAGCGUGCGUAGGCGGCUGUUUAAGUCUGGUGUUAAAGCUAGGGGCUCAACCCCUGUGGUGCAUCGGAUACUGGGCAGCUUGAGUGCGGUAGGGGAAGGUGGAAUUCCGAGUGUAGCGGUGAAAUGCGUAGAUAUCAGGAAGAACACCCGUGGCUAAGGCGGCUCUCUAGUACGGUACUGACGCUGAGACGCGAAAGCGUGGGGAGCGAACAGG
rnacentral:rRNA from 1 species